GACAUAGAUACAGUUGCUGGUUAAAUAGCAAACUCAGUUACGGCAUAUCUUGGCGGUAGGCAUUGUGACACAGACUGGAGCAUACUUCUUCUUGGCAGCUUCUGUUCCUCUCUUUGGCUCAUCGUCUGCCAUUGCCACCUUAGCUAAGGAGCACACAGCUGCAGCUGCAGCUGUGAAGACAAGAUCCCUCCUCAUCUUCAUGCUCUGUUCUUGCUUCUUG